rnacentral:rRNA from 1 species
UCAGGCGAGAGCACCCGCUGAACUUAAGCAUAU